AUGGGAUCUCAAAGUCCAGAGACCAGCUGGGAGUUGUGGCAUCCAUCCAAGCAAAGGAUAGCAAGAAAUCUACAAGGGGGAGUGUGUGUGAGAUCAGCUGAUCUGGCUGUACUCGGAAGCCAGAGGCAGCAGUGUUCUACCAGGUGGACUGUGGAAUGUGAGCAAACAUGUAUGUACCCAACUGUUCCACUUUCCGGAUGAGCUGGAUGACUGGCAUAUUGAGAAGACAUCAGCAGAGCAAAGGGAAAAUUCCAUCCACAUUCAUCUUAGUGAACCAAUGAAUGUAUUGGAGUUGGUUAGUUAUAGAAGCUUCGGGGACUCACACGCCACUACACUAGCAGCAAGUCUCCUAGGCAACCUACAGGCAGUGAUACCAUGGAAGAAUCCCACCGACCAGUAAACUGCACAACUGAAGAAUCCUUUUCCAGGUAAUUGUUCACCUCUCACACAAACUUGGGGAAGGAGGGCUCUCAUAAGGAUCUCACGAGGGUCUAGUCAUAAGUCUCCUGAUCCUGCUCCACCUCUUCCCAGACAAUGUCAACAGUCUCAAUCUUGUUAAGGUCUCACAAAGGUCCUCACAGAUGCUCUUCUUCAAGACGGUAAUGUUCAUGUCCAACACAGAA
rnacentral:lncRNA from 1 species